GACGAACGCUGGCGGCGUGCUUAACACAUGCAAGUCGAGCGGAGCGGCGAACGGGUGAGUAACGCGUGAGUAACUGCCCCCCUCUCUGGGAUAACAGUUGGAAACGGCUGCUAAUACCGGCUAGUGGGGGAUGACUCGCGUCUUAUCGGCUUGUUGGGGGGGUAGUGGCCUACAAAGGCGAGGACGGGUAGCCGGCCUGAGAGGGCGACCGGCCACAUGGGGCUAAGGUACGGCGCAAAUGGCUACGGGGGGCAGUAGUGGGGAAUAUUGCACAGUGGGGGAAACCCUGAUGCAGCAACGCGCGUGCGGAAUGACGGUCUUCGGGUUGUAAACCGCUUGCAGCCAUGACGCGGUAGUGGCAGAAGAAGCACCGGCUAACUACGUGCCAGCAGCCGCGGUAAUAC
rnacentral:rRNA from 1 species